AGCCCUGUAGUUCAACGGUUAGAAUGCAGGACUCCAAAUCCUGCGAUCAGAGUUCGAUUCUCUGCGGGGCUGCCA
rnacentral:tRNA from 1 species